rnacentral:rRNA from 1 species
UACGUAGGGAGCAAGCGUUGUCCGGAAUCAUUGGGCGUAAAGAGCGUGUAGGCGCCUUUUAAGUCCUGCGUGAAAUCCUGCGGCUCAACCGCAGACGGUCGUGGGAAACUGGAAGGCUAGAGUGCGGGAGAGGAGAGUGGAAUUCCUGGUGUAGCGGUGGAAUGCGCAGAUAUCAGGAGGAACACCGAUGGCGAAGGCAGAUCUCUGGGCCGUAACUGACGCUGAGGAGCGAAAGCAUGGGGAGCGAACAGG